rnacentral:rRNA from 1 species
GACAGAGGGUGCAAACGUUGCUCGGAAUCACUGGGCGUAAAGGGCGUGUAGGCGGGCAGGUAAGUCGGGCGUGAAAUCCCUGAGCUCAACUCAGGAACUGCACUCGAAACUACUUGUCUUGAGUACCGGAGAGGAAAGCGGAAUACCUGGUGUAGAGGUGAAAUUCGUAGAUAUCAGGUGGAACACCAGUGGCGAAGGCGGCGUUCUGGACGGUAACUGACGCUGAGACGCGAAAGCGUGGGGAGCAAACAGG